rnacentral:rRNA from 1 species
GAUGAACGCUGGCGGCGUGCCUAAUACAUGCAAGUCGAGCGAACAGACGAGGAGCUUGCUCCUCUGACGUUAGCGGCGGACGGGUGAGUAACACGUGGAUAACCUACCUAUAAGACUGGGAUAACUUCGGGAAACCGGAGCUAAUACCGGAUAAUAUAUUGAACCGCAUGGUUCAAUAGUGAAAGACGGUUUUGCUGUCACUUAUAGAUGGAUCCGCGCCGCAUUAGCUAGUUGGUAAGGUAACGGCUUACCAAGGCAACGACGCGUAGCCGACCUGAGAGGGUGAUCGGCCACACUGGAACUGAGACACGGUCCAGACUCCUACGGGAGGCAGCAGUAGGGAAUCUUCCGCAAUGGGCGAAAGCCUGACGGAGCAACGCCGCGUGAGUGAUGAAGGUCUUCGGAUCGUAAAACUCUGUUAUUAGGGAAGAACAAAUGUGUAAGUAACUAUGCACGUCUUGACGGUACCUAAUCAGAAAGCCACGGCUAACUACGU